ACGCUGCAGUGGACGCAGGUUCAGUUCAGGAUAAAUAGAAGAAGCUUCACUCCGCCCACCGUCCAGCGCUAUACAACCUCAGACUGUGUGCAAACAACACGAAGAAGCUGUUUCCUGACUCGAGCUGCAGAAAGAUUUGAAGUAUGACUCGUCGCGUGGCAGUGAUUGGAGCAGGCAGCUCAGGUCUGGCCUGCAUCAAGUGCUGCCUGGAUGAAGGGCUGGAGCCUGUUUGCUUUGAAAGCAGCAAUGACAUCGGAGGCCUGUGGAGGUUUAAGGAGAAUCCAGAGUCAGACAGGGCCAGCAUCUACCACUCUGUCAUCAUCAACACCUCCAAGGAGAUGAUGUGCUACAGCGACUUCCCCAUCCCCGCACAUUUCCCAAACUUCAUGCACAACACCCUCAUCAUGGACUAUUAUCGGAUGUACGCCGACAACUUCAAGCUCAUCAAGCACAUCCGCUUCAAUACCAGAGUCCUGCAGGUGAAGCAGAGAUCAGACUUUUCCCGUUCAGGACAGUGGGAUGUUGAAACGGAGAACAGUGAAGGCAAAAAGGAGAAACACAUUUUUGAUGCCGUGAUGAUCUGUGUUGGACAUCACUGCCACCCCAACCUGCCUCUCCAUGACUUCCCAGGCAUCGACACUUUUACGGGAAAGUAUUUCCACAGCAGAGACUACAAGACUCCUGAAGAGUGGAGGAAUAAAAAGGUUGUGGUGAUUGGAAUCGGAAACUCUGGAGGCGACAUAGCGGUGGAGCUGAGCAGAGUCACCAAGCAGCUUUACCUGAGCACUCGUAGGGGAGCCUGGAUUCUGAACAGAGUUGGGGACAACGGGGUUCCUCUUGAUCUGCACUUCAACAGGGUCCUAGGUUUUCUACGGAGAAACGUACCCUUCGGUGUUUUCUGUUCUCUGGGAGAGAAGAGACUCAACUCCAGAUUUGAUCACGCUCUGUACAAUCUGAAGCCAAAGCACAGGUUGUUCAGCCAACAUCCCACAUUGAACGAUGAGCUUCCCAACCGCAUCCUGUCUGGAACAGUUCAGGUGAAACCCAACAUCCGCAGAUUUCAAGGUUCCAGUGUGGAGUUUGAUGAUGGAAGUGUAGUGGAAGAUGUUGACCUGGUGGUUUUUGCCACAGGUUACCGGUUUUCCUUUCCAUUUCUGGCUUCACAAGUGGUCUCGGUGUCUGAGAACAAAGCAUCUCUGUACAAGUAUGUGUUUCCUCCUGAGCUGGAUCAGCCCACGCUGUGUAUCAUUGGUUUAGUGCAACCACUGGGAGCCAUUAUGCCCAUCUCUGAGAUGCAGGCCAGAUGGGCCACACGUGUCUUUAAAGGCUGCAUAAAGCUUCCUUCAGUGGCAGCUAUGCUAAAAGAUAUCCAGUAUAAGAAAGAGACCAUGGCUAAAAGGUAUGUCACCAGUCAGAGACACACCAUCCAGGUGGACUAUGUUGACUACAUGGAUGAGAUAGCCGAGAUAGUGGGGGUUCAACCCAACAUCCUCAAGCUGCUGCUGACUGAUCCCAGAAUUGGACUGAGCGUGGCGUUUGGUCCUGUCACACCCUACCAGUAUCGUCUCGGAGGGCCAGGAAAGUGGGCCGGAGCCCGGCAGGCCAUCCUCACCCAGUGGGAGAGAAUGGCUCGACCCAUGCAGACCAGACCCUGUGAGGUCGAAGUCAAGAGAUCCGUCAUGUGGCCUUUGGUUCUGUCAACUGCUGCUGUGAGCUUGGCUGCCUACGUGAACAGGAACAACCUUCCAGCCAUCCUACAGGAUCCAUCUGCAUUGCUGGACAGGAUUAGAGAGCACCUGCCUGCAAUGCUGCAACAUUCUUAACCAGUCAGCUUCAUCUGUGAUCCCUCUUUGAAUGUUUGCUCAGCAAACGUCUGCACUAAACUACACCAAUGUCUGAAAUUGACAAUUUACUGAUAUGUUAGUCAAUGAUGUAAUUGUAUGAUAACUUUGAAGGUCAGCUCGACUGAAACUAAAAGAUUUAUUCAGCAGAUUCUUUUAUUAAUUAAUGUCCAAUUCACAAAUAUGUUUUGCUUCUGUUUUUUACUGAAUAGUUUAAGAAGUAUUUGACUUGAAGACUCUUUAUCUAAUUAGCUCAUUUGUUUUGCUUGACAGAGUGUAUCAUAACUACGUACAUUGCAUUUCUUUUGCUUUGUGUUGUCCAUUUCUGAGGGAAUGUAUUUUCAUAAAUCAUUUUUGCUUGUAAUAUCUUCUGUAUAAUGUCUUUUUUCAAAAUCUUACUAUGUUAUGUAUGUGUGCAAAGAAAUAAAUGAUAGAUUUAGAUUUUCAGUGUUUAAAAUGACGGAUUCCACGAUUUAUGGCGAAGUUCAAUAUGCAUCAAUAUGAACUUCACAUCAAUUGCAAUUUGAAGUAAACUUGUUAAAGAAAAUGUUUUAAAUAAGCUUUUAAAAUGUUAUGUUUUGUUUUUUGCAAUACCGGAAUGUGAUGAUAAAGAAGGCUGAGAAGAAACAGUGUAAUGUAAAGCUGCUUUCACAUGCUUUGAUUUUUGUCUUGUUCUUUCUUUAUAGUCAUAGAAUUGUUCAGGUUUACUCACAUUAAAUAAUGCAGAACUGGUUGCAUCCAAAUGCUUUUUACAAUGCCAAAGGAGAAAAAAUCAAUUACCCAAAACAUUUUGAUGUCAUAUUUUGAAAAAGUUCCCGAAACUAGUCUGGUUAAAAUGUUUUAUUGUAUUCUUAACAAGAGAUUGACCUAUCAAAAAUGUGGUGUAACUGUAUAAAUAAACCUGGGUCCAACACUAGAAA